UGGGGAUGCGGGGUCGUCUCCGCCCGCGCCGGGAAGGAAGCUCCGCCACCCCUGCAGCCCCCUCCCAGACUUCAUGCCUUUCUCCAGUCCAGAUCUCUCGUGAUUUCAGAUGUUGAAAUAAUAGAACAGGAAGGGACAGUACUGAAUGCACAGCUGAAGAGUUAAUGUAUUGAACUAAAAUACGAGAUCAGGAAUCUUUGUCUUUUUGUUUAUUGCUAAUAUAUCCAGGACCUGGAAUAGUACUUAGCUAAUAGGAAGUGAUCGAUAAAUAUUUGUUGAGUGGAUGAAUGACUUGUAAGAUUUUCAUGUAUAUGCAAAAUGGUUGAAACAGAUGACAUACCUUGAUUUGAGACUUUGGACAUGUGAUUUCACAGAAAUGAAUCACAGAUUUUUCCAGCCAUUCCUUCACAGAAAAUUGAGUGUUUUGAGCAAAGUCAGCCCUUUGGAAGAAAAUGUUUUCUUAGACUAUAAGACUUAAAGGAGGGUUUUAGCAGAAAAGCUUUAGUAUGCAGUUCUUAAAACCUCUGGCUCAGGUGCCAUUUUUGCUUAUCAGAUUGGCACAGAUUUUUUUUCUUUUUGGUCUAAUGGAAAUUAUCAAUGGUAGAAGUGCUCAGUGAACUAGUUUCUGCCUUAUGGCAGAGGUAAGCUUGAAUGUGGGUAUAUUUCUUUUCUUUUCUUUUUUAAGAUUUUAUUUAUCCAUUUGAGAGAGGCAGAGCCAGAGCGAGAGCAUGAGGGGAAGGGCAGAGAGAGAGGGAGAAGCAGACCCUCCCCACCCCCAGCUGAGCAGGGGACUCCAUCCCAGGACCCCAAGUCUUAACCUGAGCCGAAGGUAGAUGCUAACCAUCUGAGGCACCCAGGCGCCCUGUAGAUAAAUUUCUGGAAAACUGUUGAGCUACAUAGAGGUGGAAUGGUGGAACAAUAUCGAGGUAGCCCCAAGAAGAGGAAACAGAGAAAUAAAAUUAGGGCAGAGAUAAUAAAUCUUUAAAGGGACUGAGGAGUCUGGGCCAGUAUUUUACUGAACAUCUUGACUGAAUGUAUUAACAUGUCUAAAGAAAGAAUGUGUACAUCAGAAAGAAAAAUGUUUAACCCUCCAAACCUAAGAAAGGUGGACCCAAAUCCUAGCAAGGACCCCAGCUCUGCUAUUAUGCACAAGAAGCUGCUGUACCCAAGGUUCCACAUAAGUAACAGACACAGAAACCAACACUAAUCAUUACUCAAUUAUGUAAUAGAGCCAGUAACUCUAUUUGUGAAAUAGUGCCUUGAAAUUUUGAUGUGAUGGAAAAAUUCCUAGAAAAAUACAAGUUUCUGAAAGGUAUAUAGAAGAAAUAGAAAAUCUGAACAAUUUAUUUAAGAAGUAUAUUCUAUGUAUAAAAUCAUUUCACUAAGAAAACCCCAAUUUCAUAUGAGUUAAAGAUAGUAAAUUCUACCAGAUGUUUGAGAAGGAAAUAGUACCCAUCGAAUACAGACUUCUAAAUAAUGGGAAAAGUGAGUGCAGUUACCAGAACAUCUUAUAAGGCUAGCAUAACCUUGACAUCAAAUCGUGGCAGGGAUAUUUGAAAGAGAAUAAAAAAAGUCUGUUCUGUUUCAGAAGCAGAUGUAAAAAUUCCAAACAAAAUAUCAGCAAAUUGAAUGCAAGUCCUUUGCAAUACAAAAAUUAAUUUGAAAUGGACCACAGCCCCACAUGUACUAAGUAAAGCUAUAGAGCUUCUAGAAAAAGAAUCAGAAAGUAUCUCUCUGAGUUGAGACAGGGCAGAUUCCCUGAAAAGCACAGUCCUAAAAGCACUAUUCAUGGAAGAAAAGAUUGCUACAUUGGACUUCAUUAAAAUUAAGAACUUUAGUUCAUCAAAAGACAUUGUUAAGGCAACCCAAAGACUGAGAAAAGAUAUGUACAAUAGAUAAACUCAACAAAAGACAUAUCCACCACAAAUACAUUCCUACAAAUUUUUUAAAAAGGCACUAUUUCACAAAGAGGAUAGUUAAAAGAUCAACGAAUACAUGAAAAGCUGCUCAACAUUAUGAUUCACCAGAAAAAUGCAAAUUAAAAGCACAAGGAGAUGCUACAACACAUCCACUGGGAUGGCCAAAGUUAAAAUGACAAUAUAGGGCGCCUGGGUGGCUCAGUGGGUUAAGCCUCUCCCUUCGGCUCAGGUCAUGAUCUCAGGGUCUGGCGAUUGAGUCCCUCAUCAGACUCUGCUCUGCAGGGAGCCUGCUUCCUUCUCCUCUCUCUCUCUCUGCCUGCCUCUCUGCCUACUUGUGAUCUCUGGCUGUCAAAUAAAUAAAUAAAAUCUUUUUUAAAAAAUGACAAUAUCGAGGUUUGGCAAAAAACAGAUAAACUCAGUCUCUUCUACAUUGCUGAUGGGAGUGUAAACUGGCAGAAAUAUUUUGGAAAAUUGGAGGAAAAGCUAACUGUGUGCUAAUUACAACUCAGCAGUUCUACCCUCUGAUACAUUCCCAAGACAAAUUAGUACAUGUGUUCACCAAAAGAUACAUGCAAGUAUCUUCGUUAAGCUUUCCUUAUAAUAGCCCCAAAUUACAACGACCUAAUGUCCAUCAAUGGGAGAAUCAAUAGCUAAUUGUGAUAGUCAUACCAUGGAAUCCUAUAGAGGAAAAAGAAUGAAUUUGUGCUACAGGCAACAACACGGAUGCAUCUCACAGAAUCAUGAUGUGCAAAAGAAGCCUGUGGUGGAUUUAAGGUGGACGUACGUUCUUUGCUGUCUUCCCAUUGGAAGAUGCAGUCCCUCUUCCUGCCCCUUUAAUCAGCCAUCGUCUUGUGGCCGGCUUGGAGCCACAGAAUGCUAAGUCAAUGGUAUUGUCUAACUUCCAAGCAGUGCCUUUGCAGCUUUUGCUUUUCCUCAAAUAUGCUGUCCUGAAAGCCAGCGGCAAGAAGUCCAACUCCCUUCAGACAGCCAUGCUGUGAGGAAGCCCAGUCGCGCCAUGUGUACUAGGGAGGCAACACGGAGGACUAAAGUGUCAGACGUAUGAGUGAAGUUUGGGAUCUCCCAACCUAGCCGGUCACUAGCUACAUGCAGCCCCUGCCCCAUGCUACGUGGAACAGAAAACCACCCAGCCAAGUCCUGCCCCAAUUCCUGACUGACAGAAUUCCAAAUAAACACAAUGGUUUUUGUUUUUAAGCCAAUAAUCUGACGUAGUUUGUUAUGAUACAUAGUAGUUUGUUACAAAGUAAUGGAUAGCCACAGGAAAUGCUUUUCGAACUAGAAUGUUCUAUAACAAAACCCUAAAAUACACACCCAGAACUAAUCCAAUCCAAAAGCCUCCUCCUUUGACAGCAACCUCUCAGAAAAGAGUUUUGAGCAUAUAAUGAUGUAUGUUAUAGAAUACUCAUCAAUAUAAGCUAAAAUAUAAGUUAUUAAUGUAAAUAACCUCCCUUUCAAUGAAAGUAUUAAGAACAUUGUAAUUAAACUAAUCUUGUCUUAA